UAAUUACCUGAUAGUAUGGUGAGAUUGCAUGAUAGCACCAUUAAAGAUUUAUUGGUAAACGAUGGGGAUGCGUUCCAUUAGGUAGUAGGCGGGGUAACGGCCCACCUAGCCGACGAUGGAUAGGGGUUCUGAGAGGAAGGUCCCCCACAUUGGAACUGAGACACGGUCCAAACUCCUACGGGAGGCAGCAGUGAGGAAUAUUGGUCAAUGGGCGAGAGCCUGAACCAGCCAAGUAGCGUGAAGGAUGAAGGUCCUACGGAUUGUAAACUUCUUUUAUACGGGAAUAAAGUAUCCUACGUGUAGGAUUUUGUAUGUACCGUAUGAAUAAGCAUCGGCUAACUCCGUGCCUGCAGCCGCGGUAAUACGGAGGAUGCGAGCGUUAUCCGGAUUUAUUGGGUUUAAAGGGAGCGCAGACGGGAGAUUAAGUCAGUUGUGAAAGUUUGCGGCUCAACCGUAAAAUUGCAGUUGAUACUGGUUUCCUUGAGUGCAGUUGAGGCAGGCGGAAUUCGUGGUGUAGCGGUGAAAUGCUAGAUAUCCAGGAAGAACCCCGAUUGCGAAGGCAGCUUGCUAAACUGUAACUGACGUUCAUGCUCGAAAGUGUGGGUAUCAAACAGGAUUAGAUAC
rnacentral:rRNA from 1 species